GUUGUGGGCUCAGUGGUAGAGCACUUGCCUUGCAUGCUUGAGGCCUUGGGUUCGAUCCUCGGUACCACA
rnacentral:tRNA from 1 species